rnacentral:rRNA from 1 species
UACGGGGGGGGGCAAGCGUUGUUCGGAAUUACUGGGCGUAAAGGGCUCGUAGGCGCCAACUAAGUCAGACGUGAAAUCCCUCGGCUUAACCGGGGAACUGCGUCUGAUACUGGUUGGCUUGAAUCCGGGAGAGGGAUGUGGAAUUCCAGGUGUAGCGGUGAAAUGCGUAGAUAUCUGGAGGAACACCGGGUGGGCGAAGGCGGCAUCCUGGACCGGGUAUUGACGCUGAGGAGCGAAAGCCAGGGGAGCAAAGCGGG